CCCGCGGGAGACGCCGGCGGGCCGGUCGGAGUUGGAGCCGAUGGCGAGGAGGAUGGAGGCGAGCGUAAGAAGAACGACGCAGUUGAGAUUCGAGAAGGUUAGCGGCCGGCGAAGGAGAAGAGAGGUGAGCACAAGAAUGAAGGCAAGCUGGGACGAGAGAAUAAGAGAAUUGGUGGACACCGGAAGGUAAGCUUGGCCGCAAGAGAUGAGGAGAUUGUUGAUGCCCAGGAGGAGGCCAAGAAACACGCAUAGAGCGAAAAGGCGAGGAGUGAAGCGAGAGAAGGGGGGAGAAGACGAGGGAGCGAGAU
rnacentral:lncRNA from 1 species